rnacentral:lncRNA from 1 species
CUUUUUUUUUUUUUUUUUAAGAUUUUUUAUUUAUUUAUUCAUAGAGAUGCAGAGAGAGAGAGAGAGAGGCAGAGACACAGGCAGAGGGAGAAACAGGCUCCAUGCAGAGAGCCUGACAUGGGACUCUAUCCAGGGUCUCCAGGAUCAUGCCCUGGGCUGCAGGCAGUGCUAAACUGCUCCGCCACUGGGGCUGCCCUGCUCUGGGUUCUGUAGGCUGAUCUGUCCUCCGCUCAGCGCCAUCCAGCUGUCAGAGAAGUGUGUCCACCUCAGGGGGUCCUAGUGUGGCUCUGCUGUGUGGACACCUAGGGAGCCUGGCAGGUGUUCUGUGUCUUCUAACAUGCAAGGGGACGAGGGGAACAGCUGAAUCGGUGUCUACUGGAGACUGCAUGGCUUACCUCCUGAGGAUAUGCGAGCUGGACGACCCUCUGCAGCACAGCCCCCGACGUGGCUGGGGUUUCAUGUCCUCCUGGCAUGCAGGAUGGUAGGCCAGAGUCUGUCUUCCUGAAAGCCGUGCCUGUCAGAAUCCAGCGUGCCUGCAGUUAACACCCCUCUGGAAUCCCGAGCAGUCACUGAGCGUCCUAGCCCCAGGUUUACCUCGCAGAAGGUGAGCACACACCUGUGUGGCUUUUCAGUGUUGAUUUGAUCACAGGUCUAGAUUUGGACACCUGGAUGGGAAGCCGAGGAUGAGCAGAUUUUGUGCUGAGAUGGGAAGCUCAGAAUGACAGUGAGGCGCAGACCUUGCAAACGUGCAUGCAGAUGGCCCAGCAGUGGCUGCAAGCGCAGUAGGCAAGCCUCCAGCGGGCUUCCAGGGCUCCGAAGCCCCCGGGAGGAGGUGGCAUAGGCCUCCCUCAGAGGCACCGUGGAGGAGAGCCACACGCUCAUGAACUGUUAAUGCAGCGGUCAGGCCUGACAACCUUUCCGUUGACUUCUCAGGUUCCCAGGUUCUUGCUGUGUUCCUCAGGCCUGCACAUGUCUGAUCGACGCCUUGUCUUGCUGGGUGUUCACUGGGUGUUGGCUACUGUGCUUCUUGCUGGGCUGAAACCAACACUCACAUGCCCUCCCAAGAGUGGUCGUGUUGAAGGGGAGCUGGGCCUCUGCCACCUGCAUUGGGAGGAGCUCUGCUCCGCUGCAGUCGGGGUCAGCUCCAGACUGGCCAGGACCAGCCAACUUGCAAUGAGUCCUGCUUUCCUAUGUCUCCAGGUAGUUUCCCUUUUAGUCUGUGCAACCCUGCCAGUUCUGUGUGGUUCAUGCCUCCCUGCCACUGAGCCUUGGUUUCUGAGACUUUGAAUCUGGGUAAGACAAGCACUGGGGUCUUGCUUUUCCCUCCUAGAACAGGAACCAUGCAGAUUGGCCUGUGUCCAAGAUUCUGGCAAAGCAGGAUGUCAGGAGUUCUAUUCUGUCUGCAGGGCACAGAGGUCAAAUGGAGAUCCCACUACAUCCCCUUGGGCAUGGGUGCGCCAGGCUCCCCGGAACUGGAAGUGUAAAAGCAGCAGCUUCUUCCCUAGCACCUGGCCAGGAUGACCACACAGGCAGCCAGAGUGUAGUGCAGUCUGCAGUGUUUGCCUUUCCUUCUCUCUGCGGUGCACAGGGUGCCAGACAGUGUUAGAGAACCGACUUCCUCUGUCCGCUCAGAGCUGAGGUGACACGGUCGUCAUAGAGAUGCCACUAGAUCAGAACCCAAAGUUUGCAGUGACUGAAGGCACAAAACAUUGUUGCUAGAUCUGGGUUAAGCUUCCAAGCAUUCUAGAAUGCAUAUCCCUGUAGCACCAUUUUCUGUGUAUUUUCAAAUUCACUUAGGAUAGCACCGCUCAAUAGGAACCACGAGAUUAGGUACAGCCUUGUUUAGUAAGCUGUUCUGGGAAGAAUAUGUGUACAAGAAACUCUCAGAUGUCCUGUAAAUCCUCUUGACUCAGCCCCAAACAUAAACUUCCCCUAUGUGCUGGCAUGGCAGACAGCUUGUACACUGGUUCUGGACGUGCUGGGUGCAGGCUGUAGACAUGAACCAACACAUCAGAGUGGCCAACAGGAUGGUGGCAUCCACAUUGUGUGGGCUGGACCUUCUGCUGGGAUUCUGUUUUGAAUUCCUGAUGUUGGUCCCUGCUCAGGCCCAUGGCUUGUAAAUUGGCACAUGGCUACAUUCCUGCACCACACAUCAUUAGGAUCAGGAAGGUUUGUGAGGAGUCAGUGGCUGCCAUCCCACUCCCAUGCUCAUCUGUGUCUUCAAAGCAGGUUUUAUUAGAGUAUAUUAAUCUUGGUCACAAAGCCAAGAAUAAUUGCAUGUAUUUUAGUUACCAGGAGAAAAGCAGGGAAGAACCAUCCAGAAAUGUCAUUGAGAAAUGACAAGGUCUGUGGCAGAUUCUUGUCUGAAUUCUAUGGAUGCAAACCAACAGAGCCUGAAAGUGUGCUACAUACAGCCUCAGAGCACUAUAUUAAAGUAUGUGUGUGAAUGCCCGUGUGUGCGAUUGUGUUUGUACAUGUGCAAGUCUGAGUGCACAUGUGAAGUGUGUGUUUGUGUGUGUGUGUGAGUGCAUGUGUGUGUGUGCCUGUUCACAAGCUAUUAGGCUAUAAGGUCUUUUUUUUUUUUUUUUAAAGAUUUUAUUUAUUCACGAGAGACACAGCGGAAGAGAGAGGCAGAGACAGGCAGAGGGAGAAGCAGGCUCCAUGGAAGGGAGCCAGAUGUGGGACUCGAUCCCGGGUCUCCCAAGAUCAUAACCCUGGGCUGAAGGUGGCACUAAACUGCUGAGCAACCUGGGCUGUCCAACUAUAGGGUCUUUUUAAAAAAUAUUAGAGGGGGAAAAAAAUAUUAAGAGGGAUGUCUGGGUGGUUCCACGGUUGAGCACCUGCCUUUAGCCCAGGGUGUGAUCCGGGGUCCUGGGAUCUAGUCCCGCAUCAAGCUCCCCACAGGGAGUCUGUUUCUCUCUCUGCCUGUGUCUCUGCCUAUCUGUGUCUCUCAUGAAUAAAUAAAAUCUUAAAAAAAUAAAAUAUUAGAGCACCCACGAGCAGUGGGGAGGGGUAGAGGGAGAGGGAGAAACAAGCUCUCUGCUGAGCAGGGAGCCUGAUAUGGGGCUGUAUCCCAGGACCCUGGGAUCAUGUCCUGAGCCAAAGAAAGACACCUAACUGACCGAGCCACCCGGGGUUCCCCAGGCUAUGAUGUCUUAAGGCACAACAUUCAUAACCAAGCCAUCUGGGCAUUGCCACUGACCCUUUUGUUGUUUUGGUUCCAUUUUGAGAAGUCUCAACCAUCAAGGUUAGGGAGGAGGCAGGAUUUGAAGAUCAGGCCCUAUAUAGUUUCAAAGCUGUGCUUUUUUGGGUAGAAACACAAUGGAGACUUCUGACCCUUUUCUGUAAUGAAAUAAUGUUGAAAAUGUUCUGAUGCACAGCAAUGUCUAGACACCACCCCCACCCCGGAAUCUGUGGUAACAGGUUGGGUCUGGAGUCUACCCUUGCCCCUCCUCUUACAGGGGCCCUGGUCUCUGUGCCUAUGUGAUAAAAUGGAGGGCAUGAGGGUGUCAGAAUCGAGAGAGGGCUUGGGGGAGAGAUUUUUCUGACCCUUGGCAUAGAGACUGCCUGCAAAAAGAAAAAAACAACUACCUCUGGGAAAGAGGAGAAUCUGAUUUCCAGAGUUACUAUAUGGUUAGAUUCAAAAGUCCAGUUUGCAACAAAGUCACAAGGCACACAAAAACAGGAAAGUGUGGCCCAUUUAAAGGAAAAAAAGAUACCAUCCCUGAGAAAGACCUGAUGGCAGUUCUACUAGACAAAGACUUUAAAGCAACUGUCUUGCUCCUCAACUAAUGAAAGAAGUGG